GCAACCUGAAGACUAUUGGCACCCACCUCUUGAAUUGUGCUCCUUAAGAUCACACACAUACAUGUUCCAGUGGCAGUCAGUUGAACUUUAUAGGCUUGAUAUCUGAUUUCUCUCUGGUGGCUGACUCAAAACCAAAGAACAGUCUGAACAUCACAACAGGGCUGCAGUUUAAAGCUAGGACUAGGAUUUGAAGGAUGUGUAGGCAACCCGGGUUGCCGGGGGAAGAAAAACGGAACUGGAUUCACUCUGGCUGGAGAAGAAGAGGAAGGCUGGAGCGCGGGGGCUGGCGGGGGUGGGGGGCGCGAGAGGGGAGCCUCCGAGCAUCCGCAAGUGCCGCCGUCCGGGGGAAAGUGCUCCAAGCCCCCGAGGAGGCCGAGCUGGGACGGAGGAGCCCCCGCGGACUUUGUCUUCCUUCUGCCAAUCAAACGCCCUCCGAGCCGAGAGCCCAAAGUGGAGUGGCAGAAACCUGUUGCCAAACCAUUUGGAGAUGCAAGGAGCUCUUCAGCCUUCGGCAUGGAAUUGAAGCGAGACGUAUUGGAGAUGGCCUGGAGAUCAGUGGGGCAGGAUGACAACAGCAAACUUGGCGGUGUGUUAUUGGGGAACAACUCCAGCUCACCUCAUAGUUCCUUAGCUGUGUCUUUGACCUUGGUGCUCCAGAGGAAAAGGCAGGGAGUCCACCUUACCUCUGAAGAUUUCAGGUAAGUAAAAUGUCUUUCUCAACCCUGAAGCAUCUCAUCUGGGUACCAAAAUAACUACACAUCUAUCCUUCAUUAAAUACAGACACAUCUGCCUCAAAACAAGGUCCAUAGUAAGCAUAAGUGCUGCAAGGAACCAAUUCAGUGUCCACUGCUGCUAGGGAGGACUCAGCCCUGCUCCCACCACAUUGAAUCAACCCACAAGCCCAGGCCACAAAGGUUGGCCCCAGGUGACCUGCUUAGUCAGGCAUGGCACAUGCUGUUUUGCCGCCUGAGACAAAAAGGAAAGGUGUCGUCUCAAUGCUGCUCUGCCAGUGGUGAAAGAGGCGGAGUGACCAUGGGGGCACCACCUCUUGGGGUUCCACCACCUGAGGCAGCUGCCUCAGUCUGCCUCAUGGGUGGGCCGCCCUGAGUUUAUUGAGCAUUCAACGUUAUCGAUCUGCAUGCAAAUGAGCAUUCAUUCUGAUUUGUUUGUGGGGAGGUUUGAUAUGACACUGUGUCAUGUAAUGGUGAUCCCAUCCUUUCCAGCGCACUUUCCCAUAACUUUCGUUACUGCAGAAUGGCCUGGUUUGUUUUGGGAGUGGAAUCGUUGCGCAGGAGUCCAAAUCCACUUUAUCAGUGCAGCCCACUCCUAUAUCACUUUAACUAUCAUGGAUUCCUCUCCUCCCCCACCCCAAGAAUCAUGAUAACUGGUUUGUUAAGAGCCUCCUAACAGCUCUCAGCACCCUUAACAAUGGACAACGCCCAUGAUUCCUUGUGGGGAGGGGGAGCCAUGGCUGCUGAAGUGAUGUAAGAGGGCUUUAAAUAUACGGUGUUGGUGUGACCUGAAUUUGUUGGUAUGUCACUGAAUCCCACCUGCAAAAUAGCAACAAGUCUGGAAGCAUCCGGAGUGCGAUGAACUGAAAGCAGCUACACAAUGUACCCAUCAGCACAACAAACAUUGCUCCCUGGCAUCUCCAGGAAGGAUGGGAAUGUCCUCUGCCUACAAUCCAGAAAAGUUGCACCCAGUUGGUGUGGACAAUAGUGAGCUAGAUGGACCAGUGUAUGAGGGAGCUUCCUCAGUUCCUCUCAAGCCAUCAAUCUGUCUUGUCAUGAGAGGCAGUCAAGGGAAUUUAAAAAACUUUACCUAAGCAAAAUAAAGCUAGUCAAUAAAAUUUGAUCAACUCUGAAUCUUAAACAUGGCACUCAGUAAAUGAGAGUUUAACAGGGCUAGUUCUAGAAAGCUUUGUUUUUUCUACAACCUCUUAUCACAGCAUUGUGUUAAGGCCAUUCAGCUAGCUACCAACAGUGGCAGUGGGCCUGUUUUGUAUCUUAUCCCUGUCUUAGCUUAUUAUUUAAUGGAGGGUUGUUGGGGUUUUGAUUGAUUGAUUGAUUGAUUGAUUGUGUGUGUGUGUUGUCGUUAAAUCUAUAUAGCAGUUUACCUGUGCAAUGUGCCUCGUCAAUCCAUUUGUCCUUAUUUC